rfam:Asian citrus Psyllid, Diaphorina citri - Florida Strain, whole genome shotgun sequence.
AAAACGGCCCUUUUCAGGGCCACAACAUAAUUCCUUCUUCUGUGAA